rnacentral:lncRNA from 1 species
UAGGAUCAAUGGAAUCAAUAGGAUCAAUGGGUGUCAGUGGGAUCAAUGGUGGUCAAUUAGGAUCAUGGGAAUCAAUGGGUUCAAUGGGGAUCAAUUGAGACAAUGGGAUUGAAUGGAUCAAUGGGGAUCAAUGGGGGUAAUGGGGUCAAUGGGGUCAAUGGGAUCAGUGGGGCUCAAUGGGGAUCAAUAGGAUCAAUGGGAUCAAUAGGUGGUCAAUGAGAUCAAUUGGGGCAAUGGGAUCAAUGGGAUCAAUGGGAUCAAUGGGGAUCAUUGGGGUCAAUGGGAUCAAUGGGAUCAAUGGGGAUCAAUGGGAUCAAUUAGAUCAAUUGGGGCAAUGGGAUGAAUGGGAUCAAUGGGGUCAAUGGGAUCAGUGGGGCUCAAUGGGGAUCAAUAGGAUCAAUGGGAUCAAUGGGAUCAAUAGGGUCAAUGAGAUCAAUUGGGGCAAUAGGAUGAAUGGGAUCAAUGGGAUCAAUGGGGAUCAAUGGGAUCAAUGGGAUCAAUGGGCGCAAUGGAGGCAAUGGGAUGAAUGGGGGCAAUGGGGAUGAAUGGGGGCAAUGGGAUGAAUGGGAUUAAUGGAGAUCAAUGGGAUCAAUAGGAUCAAUGGGAUCAAUAGGAUCAAUGGGAUCAAUGGGGAUCAAUGGGAUCAAUAGGAUCUAUAGGAUUAAUGGGAUCAGUGGGGAUCAAUAGGAUCAAUGGGGUCAAUGGGGAUCAAUGGGAUGAAUGGGAUCAAUGGGGAUCAAUGGGGUCAAUGGGGAUCAAUGGGAUCAAUAGGAUCAAUGGGAUCAAUGGGGAUCAAUGGGGGUAAUGGGCUCAAUGGGCUCAAUGGGCUCAAUGGGGGUAAUGGGAAGAAUGGGAUCAAUGAGAUCAAUGGGGAUCAAUGGGGGUCAAUGGGAUCAAUGGGGAUCAAUGGGGAUCAAUGGGAUCAAUAGGAUCAAUAGGAUCAAUGGGAUCAAUGGGAUCAAUAGGAUCAAUGGUGACAAAUACCCUAACCCUAAACCCCCCCCUCCAUUUAAACCCACAGGCGUCAGAGCCACCCCAAAAGCUCC